UAGCUAAUCCUGGUCGGACAUCAGGAGGUUAGUGCAAUGGCAUAAGCUAGCUUGACUGCGAGCGUGACGGCGCGAGCAGGUGCGAAAGCAGGUCAUAGUGAUCCGGUGGUUCUGAAUGGAAGGGCCAUCGCUCAACGGAUAAAAGGUACUCCGGGGAUAACAGGCUGAUACCGCCCAAGAGUUCAUAUCGACGGCGGUGUUUGGCACCUCGAUGUCGGCUCAUCACAUCCUGGGGCUGAAGUAGGUCCCAAGGGUAUGGCUGUUCGCCAUUUAAAGUGGUACGCGAGCUGGGUUUAGAACGUCGUGAGACAGUUCGGUCCCUAUCUGCCGUGGGCGCUGGAGAAUUGAGGGGGGCUGCUCCUAGUACGAGAGGACCGGAGUGGACGCAUCACUGGUGUUCGGGUUGUCAUGCCAAUGGCACU
rnacentral:rRNA from 1 species